rnacentral:rRNA from 1 species
AGCGGCGGACGAGUGAGUAACGCGUGGGUAACCUGCCCUAUACACAUGGAUAACAUACUGAAAAGUUUACUAAUACAUGAUAAUAUAUAUUUGCGGCAUCGCAGAUAUAUCAAAGUGUUAGCGGUAUAGGAUGGACCCGCGUCUGAUUAGCUAGUUGGUGAGAUAACUGCCCACCAAGGCGACGAUCAGUAGCCGACCUGAGAGGGUGAUCGGCCACAUUGGAACUGAGACACGGUCCAAACUCCUACGGGAGGCAGCAGUGGGGAAUAUUGCACAAUGGGCGAAAGCCUGAUGCAGCAACGCCGCGUGAACGAUGAAGGUCUUCGGAUCGUAAAGUUCUGUUGCAGGGGAAGAUAAUGACGGUACCCUGUGAGGAAGCCCCGGCUAACUACGUGCCAGCAGCCGCGGUAAUACGUAGGGGGCUAGCGUUAUCCGGAUUUACUGGGCGUAAAGGGUGCGUAGGUGGUCCUUCAAGUCGGUGGUUAAAGGCUACGGCUCAACCGUAGUAAGCCGCCGAAACUGGAGAACUUGAGUGCAGGAGAGGAAAGUGGAAUUCCCAGUGUAGCGGUGAAAUGCGUAGAUAUUGGGAGGAACACCAGUAGCGAAGGCGGCUUUCUGGACUGUAACUGACACUGAGGC